AGCACUCAUAGAAGGCAUCUUUGGUCACAUCGUCCUUCUCUUCCGUCGGGGCGUGGGCGCAGAUCAGCGAUAUGUUGAAGAACCUCGCUUUGAUGCGGAUUGUGGCUAGACGUUCAUUCACCGCAGUGAAUGAUAGUACUCGACGACGGAGUCUCUCUACUACCACGAAUCCAACACCAAACUUGCGCUCCUUUAUAUGGCCACUGUAGUAAAUGUCACAAGGACCUACUCGUCUCUGUCCUUGUCCCGUCCAUCGCAUUUCUUGGACGGCGGUGAUGUCAGCUUUUGUUUUUACGAGGACAUCAACCAGCUGGGCAGCGGCACCUUCCCAAUGAAGGGACCGGACAUUCCAGGUGCAUGCCCUUAAUUCGUAGUCCUUAUUUCGUUUGCCAUGGUCGUCAUCAAAAGGGGGGUCUCUCAUCCGAGGUUGCUGUUGGUUUUUCAUUGGGGUGAGCUUUUUACGUGGCGGGUCCCAAACCCAGCGCACAACCCUAUGUAGGGGAUAUUUCGCCUUCUCACUUUAGCUCGCCUUCGAACGGAUGUUCUUAGGCUACCCAGAGGAUACUUGGUCAAAGACCGGAAGUAGUGAGCUGCUUGAGCCAUGUGUAAAAGAAUCGCUUCUGGCCACUCCCAAGUGAAUGGCGAUCAGAGAACUUUCCUCACUUGCGUGAACUUCUACACAUGACCCCAUCCUCCUUUGUCGGCUUACCAGGAGAUAUUAUGUCAAUGUUAUUGUGCUUAUUUAUAAUAGUGUGAUACAGCUGUCGUCCUUUCGGAUUAAUUAGCCGUGAGCCCCAAUACAUGUGCUUUGCAUUGUAGUCUCCACCUGCUAGAAAUCUAUGGCCUAGUGUUCCAAAAAAGUCUUUAAAUUGAAUGUCUGUAAUUUUAAACCGAGGUGGGCAGUAUAUGGCCGUCAGAUUUAAGUCCCCACAGCGAUUUUUUAUAGUUAUUGUUGUAGCUUGUAAUUGCGCUGUGGCAUAAGAUUCUGAUGUGUGGUGAUUUAAACGUUUUCUAACCAACACUGCUGUUCCUCCAUGUGCCUUUCCAUCUGGGUGGUUUGUAACAUAGAGUCUAAAUCCCGGUAUAAAGAAAUUGUUUUUGUUCGUAAGAUGAGUUUCUGACAAUAGCAUUACAUCGAUACUACAUAUUUUCAUCCAGAAAUCUAAUAAGUUCCAAUUUAUGUUAGUUAACACCGUUAGCAUUCCAUAAACAAAUGUUCAAUACACUCAUUUUUUACUUAAAAAAGUUUGCAACAUUUGGUUUUGUGAUUUGAUUAUCUCUUGAAUCAUAUUUUACAUUGAAGCCCUAAAUUGUGUCAUACAUUGAGUAAGGUUUAGAAUCAUAGUUUCAGCGCUUCCAUUUGGUUGGUUUUGGGGCAAUUGCAUUUGUGUAGUAUUGCCUUUCACCACGUUUGCAUAACUCCCUUGUGUAGCAUUGUCUUUAAGAUUUACUGGUUUUGAAAUAUGGACGGGGAUUUUAAUAUUUUCAUUAGAUGGAAUAUUCAUCAUUUGGUUACGACGUGCUUGGAUGCCCUGUGACAACUUCGAUUUUAAAUCUUUGUAUACAGGGCAACCCCUGUAGUUAGCAGUGUGAUUUCCUCCACAAUUACUGAAUUUUUUUAUUUAAAUCCUUUCUUUUAAAAGUAUAUUUUGAAGUUGAAUGUAGAUCACCAAAUACUACACAGAUACUUCCUAAAGUGCAAUAUGCUUUCGUGUGUCCAUACUCUUGGCAGUUCAUUGUGGUCAUUGUGGUACAUUGUACUGGACCAUUUCUCUUGUAUGGUUCCUCAACGGUGAUUCUGCGAUGGAUAAAAUAUUUUAAAUUGUAAAUCGGGUGUAUUUCAUUUUUCUUUAAUUUGUUAGAAUCUGGCAUCAAUUCUAUUUUGAACAUUGGUUGUGGGACUUUGUUCCUGUUAAAAAUAUUUACUACUGAUUUAAUGCUAAAACCACCUUCUUCUAGUGCUUCUCUAUCGAAGACUCUAUACCUUUUAUGACAACAACUAGGCCUUUUGAACUCUUCAGUUGGUAAGAGUAGUAAUUCUUGUUAUUAUUUGAUAAGAAUUUUACAAUUUCCAUGAAACUUUUUUCAGUGUAUGUUUGAAUUUUUGUUCCAUCUAUGUUACCUUUUUUCAAGGGCACAAUGUGGAAAUUGUUUGUGCCUAUUAUAUUGCUCAUUUUUGAAACAAGCGCAUUUGAGCUACGCUCACGCAAAUAGAUUGGAGUGAGGUUUGGCAUUCACGACCGUGGUGGUACCCUUUGCUUCGUCGUUAUGCUCUUCUUUGCUUAAUAAGGCAAAUCUUGUGCCAUUAAGAAUUUCUGGCUUUUUGGUGUUUGGCGUGUUUGCUUGAAAUUUUUUGGUAUUGACCGCUGUUUUAAUAGGACUCAAUUUCCUUUUUACAUUAAUGUAGCGAUCAAUACCAGUCAGAACUGAUGGCCCUUUUUUGCUUGGUACAUUCUCACCUUGCAUAUUAUUUUCCUUCGCUGUCCGGGUGCUUGCUGGUACCUGCAUAGUGGCUGCUGUCAGUGGAUUUGUUGUUGCCGGUACCUGCAUGGUGGCUGCUGUCAGUGGAUUUGUUGCUGCCCGAUUGCUGUUUACUGCUGCUUCUGCUGACUGCGCUUGCUUAGUCUCUCUUUCAUCUGAUCGCUGCGAUGACUCAUCAUCGCCGUUGCAUUUGUUUUUCCAGGAGUUGCUUUUGUUGGCUUGACAAAACUGAAGUAGGCAUUUAAGGAAUGCCUACGGUUUUGCGGUUGAGGCUGCGAAGCACUCAUUAUUGUUUGUUUUUUGUUUUAUUUUUUUAUUUUUAUAUAUUUGUUUUGUGCACUAUUUGUUAAUGUUUAUUAUUAAAAGUUUGUGUGCGCUGUUUUUUAUUUGUUUCUUUGUUUUUAUUUAUUAUUAUUGUUUGCUUACUUUUUGCAAAAAUCAGAAUCACGGAGCGAAUUCAAAAACACGUCCGUACACUUUGAACCAAUUGAAUUGAAAUUGAAUUCUGUUUUUAAUAUAGCUCGUUAUAAUGUUUGUGAGUAAUUAAGGGGAUCAUAUUUCAUCUAGGGCUUUGAUUAUGUGUGCCCAUUUUGCCGUCUUGAACGCAUUCUUGACAUCCAGGAUAAUUAGCGCGGAGUACUUUUUUGUGCCACCUCUUCAUCUUUUGCCACUUACUGUACAUUUCGCUGUAUCGGGGACUUCUUGUAGUGGGUCAAUAGUGGAUCUCUUUUUUAUAAAACCGUAUCAAUUCUCUGAAAAUCGGCCAACUUUCUGGAUUGCUAACUCCAAAUGGUUUCUUAAUAUAUUUACGUCCACCUUACCCAUUGUAUCGAGCAUACUCGGUGGUCGGUACGAUGAAGGUUCUUCAGGUGGUUUCUUUGUUUUUGGGAUCAGAACCAAACGCUGUACUUUCCACGAGUUGGGGAACACCUCUUCCUUUAUACAAGCGUUGUACAUUUUAGCGAAUAAUUGAGGUUUUGAGCUUAUUGCUUUCUUCAGGGCUCUGUUGGGUAUCCCAUCCAAUCCAGACGCUUUGGUGUUUUUGAUUUUCUUUGUUAUGGGUAAUAGCUCUGUUUAAAUGAGUUAAGCAUCCAUCCACUCUACCCGGAAAAACUGGUACACACUAAUAAAGCUCUGCUCAAUCCUACCAAAGUCGAUGACACCACACUCGUACACAACACAACUCACCACACUACAUCAACCCACUCGGCAUAAAGGAUGGUCCCCUGAGCAGAUUCAUUACAUUCAUUUUGAUAAUUUAUAUUCAUACAUCACGCCGCGUCGACACCUCACGCUAUUCUCUUCCAAUUACUAAAUUCAACCACGAUCCCUGUCCCGGAAUUGGCAACGACAACAAAACGAAUAAAAAACAAUUUCAACAAAGACAACAGCAACAAACUAACGCGCGAUACCUAAACACAAAACAUCAACUAAAUAAUUAAUCAUGCGCGAAAAACUAAAACACCAAUAAAACAAACAAAAAAGAAACAAACGGGCGCGCACAUUACAACAAAUAUAAACACACACCAAGAAUGAUAGAGAAAGAGAUUACGCAAUGCGCAUGUUUGUUUUCAGUCCGCUGUUCUUGCUGACGUCACGGUUGACUUAUUAUUCGCCCGCGCCUUUGAAUGUAAAUUCGAAUUGUAUUUUCGCGCGUAGUAUUAAUUGUGAAAUUUUAUAUUUUUUAAAAUGAGUUGCGCAGUGUUCGGAUGCAAUAAUAACAGUGUUAAAAAUAGUGGUACGAAAUGGAGAUUUUCCCAUUUCCUUUAGGAUAAAACAGUACUAAAACAGUGGAUUCAUUUUUGUGCACUUCGCGCCAGAAGCCUUCGGCUUCGAAAGAAAUUUGCAGUUUGAAAUGGGUUUAAGUUCGCGGAGUCUAACGAAGUUGCCACCUAGCGCUUUUCUCACGUUAACCAGAUUAACUCCUGUAGAGGCUAAUGAACGGCAGAAAAGGAUGGAGUCUCGUUUAAACCAGGACGUUUUAGAAAAUUUGUUUGGCGUAAUUAGGUUAAAAGGCGGUCUUCACGAUCACCCUGACAGGAAGGAGUUGAAGUAUAGGCUGCCUUCCUAUAUACUUGGUCACAACGAAAGACCGAUUACAGAUGAAGGAAAUGUUGAAGUCGACAACACCCCAGAUUUCGAAGGGAAUUACAUAUGUAUCUCUAACCGGUAAUAUUUUUCAACGUGUGUCAGUUGAUCUAAAUUCCGCUGACCCAAUUGAAAAAAGUGAUGACUUGAAGAUUCUCAACAACGACAGGCUUGAAAAUUUGGCAGGGUACAUCUGCCACAAACUUGGUAAAGACAACCCCGAAAUUUGUGCCAAUUCAGAAAAUUGUUCGUCUUAUACUUGGGUAGAUCACCUAUCUGAAGGAGGACUUUCAAAACCAACAGAUAUGUUGAUGGAGCAUAUGAAAGCCUUGCAAGCAGUAUUUGACGACUGAAAUGGUACUGAUUUGCAUAUACAUACUAUGUAUGUAAAAAUUACGUCCAGAAGCACUUAGACUUAAGUAAUUUUGUAAAUUGUAGCGCCAAAGUAAAAUAAUUGUUUUCAGAGCUAGAAUGUGUUUUAGGAUUCGUUCCUUAAAUAAAAACGUAAUUGAAAAUAUGUACAGCAAAAAAAAAAAAUAAAAAUAAAUAAAUAAAUAAGACAAUAAAUUGAUAGUUGGUCACAAAAUCUAUAUAAAUAAAAAUGAAUCGUCAAAAUGUAUGUACGCUCAUAACUCAAUAACGCCUGGACCAAUUUGGCCAAUUCUUUUUCUUAAA